AGCAUCACACACUCUAGAUCCGGUCACCUCUGAAAGAGCCCCACGCAGGACUGCAGGAGGCUUUGGGGGACACCUAGACACAGCCAUAACCGGUCCCUCUGGGUUGCUAGGCUCUUGCGUGUGACAAGGAAGUGGAUGUGGCACAUGAUGGCAGCUGACUUUCAGACGCUCUUCCCCGUUGUCUGAAGGGUCUGGCAGGGAACAGUUGAACCAACACACCCAUGUGCACAAACCUACUGGUGAUUCCCGAGAGGAAAUAACAAUUCGCAGAGGCAACAUCGUGUAAGUCCCCAAGGAGGAAGGAAAUCAGUCGCAGUGGCCUCACACAUGCUGUGCCUGCCUAUCCACAACCUACUGUGAACUUCCUACUCCCUCGUCUGUCACCUUGAUGACAGGAGGUUUACUGGGUAGAGCGACCCUGCCUUUCGUGUCUGUGCCCAGUAAACCAACUUUAAUUCUGGGUCACUCCCUGGCUGUCCCAGGCCUCUCUCCUACCCGCUGCUCCUGGGAACAGUGAGAUUCUCCCCGGAGUCUUUGAUGGAUUCCACCUGACUGUGAGGCGAUCAGAAUGUCCCUCCCACGAGCUCAUUACUCUGUCACGCUCUCCAGAUUCCUGGGCUCAAAUCCCGAGCUAUUGGUGAAGACACUCAGCUGGGGGUGCGGGGAGCGCUCAGACAGAGACCUCUGCUCCAAUUUCAGUGGCUUUGACCUCUAAGACCCCUUUUCACCCUUUCAGGCUCCGUUGCUGUUUGUGGCGCCUCCAGUCGCUCUGUUUCUACAGGGGCUGGGGAGCAGUGAUUCACUGGUCACCUCACCAGAGGCAGAGACACCUGAGAAAGCCGGUACAGCAUAUUCGCACUGUUGGUGCUGCUCCUCUAGAGAAACCUGACUAACACAAGGGCUUGCAGGCCCGUUCCCCACUUCCCCAUCCACACCCAUUUUCAGCUUCCCUUUACUCAUUCCUGGAACUUUUCAUUUUUCUCUCUGUCACCCUGGCACAAAGAUGCAGGCUCGUAUAACACUAAAAGUAACCUUUAUGUGGUGCUGAUAAACUGGGCCUAACACAUGCCCACCUCCCCCGGAGAAAACGCCAGCUCUUCCUGCCCAGGUGUUACUGUAUCUGCUGCUGCGACUGCUGUUUCCGUCCGUCCUCCCUUGGACCCAGGUGCGUUGUAUCAGAGGCACUGGACUCAGAAUUCCCUCCCUCUAGCCGCACCUGCCACGGCCCGUGCUAACUUCUCUCUUGAGGUGAGCUCUGCUCAGGGUACUUCCUCAGCCUUGCACGAGUGGACUUCUGCUGGCUGCCUCCCGCUUCCUCCCAGUCAAGCUCCAGGGUGAGCACGCAACGACCCAGUAAUUCUGGAAGUUUGUCUGCUACAAGCUGGGGAGACACUGCGUCAAAACUGCCAGCAGCUUUAUUUAUCUGUUUUGGUACCGGGGAUUGAACUCAGGAUGCAGCACUUGCAAGGCAGGCAGCGGAACCACUGAGCUAAAUCCCCAGUCCAACUUCACCCUUAAAGGAGAGGCGGCAUCCAAGCGAGGUGUUCAGAGCUUGUCUCCCAUCGCGGCUGUUCCAGAGUCUCGAAGGAAAAGGCCAGAGUCUGCCCUGCAACGGGAAGGCGUGUUCUCCCUCAGGGUCGGGCUCAGACCCCAUCCCAGGAUUUCUGGCCCUGGUGUCCUGCGACUCCCGUGACAAGACAUCUGCCCAACGGUUAGGAGAAAACUCCACGGAUUCGGCUGAUGAUUCCUGCCCUGCCUCUGACUCACGGAGCUGCUGUCCUCUCUCCAUUGCCCCCUACAUCACACCCUUGUUUCAAGU